CGUGUCCUGUAGUGGGGGAUAGCCCGGCGAAAGCCGGAUUAAUACCGCAUACGAUCUACGGAUGAAAGCGGGGGAUCGCAAGACCUCGCGCUAUAGGGGCGGCCGAUGGCGGAUUAGCUAGUUGGUGGGGUAAAGGCCCACCAAGGCGACGAUCCGUAGCUGGUCUGAGAGGACGACCAGCCACACUGGGACUGAGACACGGCCCAGACUCCUACGGGAGGCAGCAGUGGGGAAUUUUGGACAAUGGGCGCAAGCCUGAUCCAGCAAUGCCGCGUGUGUGAAGAAGGCCUUCGGGUUGUAAAGCACUUUUGUCCGGAAAGAAAUCCUCUGGGUUAAUACCCCGGGGGGAUGACGGUACCGGAAGAAUAAGCACCGGCUAACUACGUGCCAGCAGCCGCGGUAAUACGUAGGGUGCGAGCGUUAAUCGGAAUUACUGGGCGUUAAGCGUGCGCAGGCGGUGAU
rnacentral:rRNA from 1 species